CUUUGAUACACACCACUCGUUAACUGCACUCACUGUGAGAAACUCAGUGUCGGGAGCAUGGCACACCUCGGAGCCAAACUCGUCGGAGGAAACCGUAAUACUAUCAUACUUUUGGCGGUUGACGUGAUCUUCGCAGAGCUACGGGUGAUGUAGAAGGAGUAGCGUAGGAGUACCGUCUUUCUUUAACUGGCUUUUCUUCAGGUCUUCGGGACUCGUCUGAACACGCUUCCUCUUCGGCCAGGAACCAAUCACGAUUACUCUCAAGUAUGUGUGUCCAGUAAUCUGUAUGUUUAAUUGUAAAA